rnacentral:rRNA from 1 species
AUUGAACGCUGGCGGCAGGCUUAACACAUGCAAGUCGAGCGGAGAGAGGUAGCUUGCUACCGAUCUUAGCGGCGGACGGGUGAGUAAUGCUUAGGAAUCUGCCUAUUAGUGGGGGACAACAUUUCGAAAGGAAUGCUAAUACCGCAUACGUCCUACGGGAGAAAGCAGGGGAUCUUCAGACCUUGCGCUAAUAGAUGAGCCUAAGUCGGAUUAGCUAGUUGGUGGGGUAAAGGCCUACCAAGGCGACGAUCUGUAGCGGGUCUGAGAGGAUGAGCCGCCACACUGGGACUGAGACACGGCCCAGGCUCCUACGGGAGGCAGCGGUGGGGAAUAUUGGACAAUGGGCGCAAGCCCGAUCCAGCCAUGCCGCGUGUGUGAAGAAGGCCUUUUGGUUGUAAAGCACUUUAAGCGAGGAGGAGGCUCUUAAGGUUAAUACCCUUGAUGAGUGGACGUUACUCGCAGAAUAAGGACCGGCUAACUACGUGCCAGCAGCCGCCGUAAUAC